AUUUAGGCGUAAAUAAUUGAAAGAAAAUAAAACCAAAGCGAAAAAGAUUUUCGGCCACGUGUUUUAUUUGUUUGUCGACAAACUUUUUUUUUUUGCUUUUAGAAAUUUCCUGUUUGGU
rnacentral:ribozyme from 1 species